CACAGUAAACGAUGGAUGCCCGCUGUUGGCGAUACAUUGUCAGCGGCCAAGCGAAAGCGUUAAGCAUCCCACCUGGGGAGUACGCCGGCAACGGUGAAACUCAAAGGAAUUGACGGGGGCCCGCACAAGCGGAGGAACAUGUGGUUUAAUUCGAUGAUACGCGAGGAACCUUACCCGGGCUUGAACUGCAGCAGAACGAUUCAGAGAUGAUGAGGCCCUUCGGGGCUGCUGUGGAGGUGCUGCAUGGUUGUCGUCAGCUCGUGCCGUGAGGUGUCGGCUUAAGUGCCAUAACGAGCGCAACCCUUUUCCUUAGUUGCCAUCAGGUCGAGCUGGGCACUCUGGGGACACUGCCACCGUAAGGUGUGAGGAAGGUGGGGAUGACGUCAAAUCAGCACGGCCCUUACGUCCGGGGCUACACACGUGUUACAAUGGGGAGUACAGAGCGUCAGGCGCCGGCAACGUCGCCUCAAUCAAGAAAGCUCUCCUCAGUUCGGAUUGGGGUCUGCAACCCGACC
rnacentral:rRNA from 1 species